AAAAUUUCUUUAAUGCUUAUGUAGAAUGCCAGCUUCAAGGAUUAUUGGAAAAGUACUAGAAUCUUCCCUUUCUUUUUUCAGGUCUCGUGGGAAUGCUCUCUAUUUUGUUGUUGCCUUGGAAAUGUCUUGGCAAUUUGGACCAAAAUCAGUCUUGAUAUGCUCUAAGGCAUAUGUCUUAACUACAUGGUUGGCUUUUAAAUUCUUACCUCUGUAGGGAUCUUUUUCAAAGGUGCUCAGCUAUUUCUGCUAGCUGUUGCAUUCUUAUAUGAAUUUCCAUUGGAAUAAAUUUUUUAAAUCUCUGUCCAGAUCCACAAAGCAUCUUUGUUCUUUGAGGGCAGGAAUUCUGUGCAUAUAGUACUAUGUGCAUGCCUCUUGAAUGAUGAAUGUGAUUUGAUAUUGUGAGGAUUCAAGUGGGCCCCAUGGUAUAUUGGUCUGCAUUCUGGAGUUUGAUAUUAUGGGGAUUUGUGGGAAGAUUCUGGAGAAUAAGGAAAUGAUCACUUGUCUUCUUUUAGACCUACUGGGAUGGUGAUGCUCGCCUCUUGAAGGAAGGUGUAUUCUGCUCUCAUCACUUUCCAUGAUCAUUUGUUGGUGUGGAAUGCCUUUAAAUUUUGGUCUUUAAGGUUUUUGCUGAGGAGUAUCAAUUGAUAGAUAAACCCAAGGACCAAUGAGUAUGCAGAGAAGUUUCAACUAGUUCUUAACCGCAAAAGUCUACCUGAUUCAACGUGAUAAGACCGCUCCAUUAAGACAGCUAGCCCAAUGCCAGGCGCAAAAUGAGCAUCCAAACAAGGAGUGACUGAAUGAUGCAAAACCACCUUCGCAGGUUCAUGCUGGCAAGGCGGCCAGCCGCUAAACUGCAGGCGCGUCAGAAACCGCAGUGAGCCUGAGACCGCGGGAGCACUCUGGGAUUCCCAGCUCGAUCUGUACCAGUUCUCGGUUGGGCCGGAAAGCCGAAAGAGACGCCUGCAACAGCUGUUUCUGUGAGACUUGGGGGCCACGGUGUUGAGUUCAGUGGACGUGGCAAUGCAGAAUAUCUUUCAGACAAGGCCAUUUCGAUUGCACUUUGUGAUGCCUGGGCUCUGAGUUUUCUCAGCAUGUUCUGUGCCACAUCAACUCUACUAAGGAAACAGUGUAAGUCCUAGUGGGUCUCCUGCGAGGAAGGGGCUGGUACCACGUCCACAUCGGAAUCCCCCAAGACAACGCCAGCAAUACAUCAGAAAAUGAAGUUUCUAUCUGAACAUUUAUUCCACAGUCAUAGAAAC